rnacentral:rRNA from 1 species
GACGAACGCUGGCGGCGUGCUUAACACAUGCAAGUCGAACGGAAAGGCCCUGCUUUUGUGGGGUGCUCGAGUGGCGAACGGGUGAGUAACACGUGAGUAACCUGCCCUUGACUUUGGGAUAACUUCAGGAAACUGGGGCUAAUACCGGAUAGGAGCUCCUGCUGCAUGGUGGGGGUUGGAAAGUUUCGGCGGUUGGGGAUGGACUCGCGGCUUAUCAGCUUGUUGGUGGGGUAGUGGCUUACCAAGGCUUUGACGGGUAGCCGGCCUGAGAGGGUGACCGGCCACAAUGGGACUGAGAUACGGCCCAGACUCCUACGGGAGGCAGCAGUGGGGAAUAUUGCACAAUGGGCGGAAGCCUGAUGCAGCAGCGCCGCGUGCGGGAUGACGGCCUUCGGGUUGUAAACCGCUUUCGCCUGUGACGAAGCGUGAGUGACGGUAAUGAGUAAAGAAGCACCGGCUAACUACGUG